rnacentral:rRNA from 1 species
ACAGAGGGUGCGAGCGUUAAUCGGAAUUACUGGGCGUAAAGCGCACGUAGUCGGCUUGUCAAGUCGGGUGUGAAAUCCCCGGGCUCAACCUGGGAACUGCAUCCGAGACUGACUUGCUAGAGUAUGGGAGAGGGAAGCGGAAUUUCUGGUGUAGCAGUGAAAUGCGUAGAUAUCAGAAGGAACAUCAGUGGCGAAGGCGGCUUCCUGGACCAAUACUGACGAUCAGGUGCGAAAGCGUGGGGAGCAAACAGGAUUAGAUACCCUGGUAGUCCACGCCCUAAACGAUGACAACUGGAUGUCGGGAGGGUUUGCCUUCCGGUGUCGUAGCUAACGCGUUAAGUUGUCCGCCUGGGAAGUACGGCCGCAAGGUUG